ACUUCGUAACACAAGAAAAGCGUUGAUCAAGAAAUAACAAAAGCCUCGUUCGGCCUGCUAGAAAUAGCUGCCAAAUCUCUUUCAAGUUCCACUCGCCUUGUAUUAAUAAUGAAAAACAGCACAAAGAAUGAGUGAUAUGGUGUUGGAUGUACUUUAUGACGAGAUGGUCAUGGCUGAAAUGUCUUUGAUCAUAAGUUUGUCAACUCGAUCAGAGCUAAACAACAACAGUGAUCGAAGUGUCCCACCACCAUUCUCACAGACAUCAACAAACCGUGAGAAAUAGUUUUAAAACCGCUCCUCUACUUCUCUCUCUAUUUCUUCCUUUCUCUCUCUUCUUCUCACUCACUCUUUCUCCUUCCCUCACUCUUAAUCACUGUUUCUUUCACUUUCAUUCUCUUACUUUUAUCCUGCGUUUCCCUCUCUCUUAGUCACUGUCUUUUCUUCUUCUCUCUCUCUUAAUCAGUGUCUCUCUCACUCUUACUCUGUCAUCCUCUCACUCUUACUCUAUCACCCUUACUCUUAUUACUUUCUAUCUCUCACUUUUACUCUGAGUCCUUCACUUUCACUCUCUCCUAGUCUCUACCACUCUCUCUCUCUCUCCCUUAUCUCCGUCUCACUCUCUCCCUGUAAGUCUCUAUUUCUCUCUCUCGCACUCACACACAUAUACCUACACUCACACUCGUCUACCAGUUUAUGUUUUGUCGUCUUCUAAACCCUUCUGUCUCCUUCAACACACCGGAUUGUUGUCUGCAGUUUUGGAUAUGUUUACACCUUUUUGCUUCUGGCUUGGAGCUUGAUCCACUCUUCUGACGUCAUUUGAUUCUUUAGAAUUUCUUUAGCAUGUCUGAGGUGCCUCCGCUUCCAAGACGGAAGGAUAGCUUGCCAGCACCAAAAGUGCCUCCAAUACCACCUGUGCCGAAUCGAAAGAAUUACUUAACAAGUCGUCCCUGCGUGUGGCCAGUUACCCAGCCAACUACUUCAGCUGUGACCAUUUCCAGUGGCUGCACUGCCAGCAGCAGCAGCAGCAGCAGCAGCAGUAACAACAACAACAUCAGCAGUAGUAUCUGCAUCAGCAUCAACAACAGCACAACGAGUACCACCACUACCACCACCACCAGCACCUCUACACUCGCUACGACUAGCUGUAGUUCUUCAGCCUCUGCUGCCACCAAAAUGUCUACAAACCCACAAACAUCAGUAUCCUCUUCAUCGUCAGCAUCAAUCGAUUCCAAAAGUUCCAGCGAAGCUUCUGAAAUCGUCUUCGAGGCUUCAAACCACUGCCAAGAGGGCUUCAAGGCUCUUUUGGAUUUCUACAAUCGAAAGAUAUUAUGUGACUUGGAGAUUCGAGUUGGCAAGAAGUCGAUAUGGUGCCAUCGGGUUGUUCUUGCAUGUGUCAGUAACUAUUUCAAAGGUAUGUUUACAUCAGACAUGGCAGAGAGCAAGCAGGGUGUCCUGACGAUACACGACCUGGAUGAGCAUUGUCUUCAAGCCCUCAUAACGUUUGCAUACACCUCUAAGGUGACUCUCACUGUGGACAAUGUGCAACAGCUUCUCUAUGCAUCUUCCAUUUUGCAAAUGGAAGCAGUUGCACAAGCCUGCUGCAAAUUUAUGCAGAACCAUUUGCAUCCAACAAACUGUGUCGGUGUCAGAAACUUUGCCGAGCAGCAUGGCUGUACGGAAUUGGUCAAAGUAACAGAUGAAUACAUAUUGGAACAUUUCCUUGAGGUAGUUGACCAAGAGGAGUUCUGUAACAUGCCCUACAAAGUCAUCGACAUCAUCGUCAGUUCACCGAACCUUAAUGUACCUUCUGAAAUUCGCGUUUACGAGGGUGUAAUGAAAUGGGUUAAACAAGACUUAAUGAAACGGCGAUGUUAUUUGCCAAAACUGCUUGCACAUGUCAAACUGCCCCUUAUACCGGUGAGUUACCUUAUGGAUUGUGUUGAAACUGAGGACCUUUUAAAGAAAAGUUUUGAGUGUCGGGACUUUUUGGAUGAAGCCAAACAUUACCAGAUGUCUCACACUAACCUGAUCAUCGAGGUGAAGAUUACGGAGAGGAUGAAACCACGUAAAAGCUAUGCAGGUGUACUUUUUUGUGUGGGGGGUCGAGGAGCAGCAGGUGACCCUUUCAAGAGUAUAGAAUGUUACAACUACCGCAAAAAUUCCUGGUUUCCAAUUGCUGAAAUGAAUACUCGCAGACGACAUGUUGGAGUAUGUGCAGCUUCAGGUCGCCUUUAUGCAAUUGGAGGACAUGAUGGAUUCACACAUCUGAACAGUGGGGAAGUGUUUGAUCCAGUCAAAAACAAGUGGUCAUAUAUUGCCCCUAUGGGAUCCCUCAGACGUGGAAUUGCCCUGGCCUGUUUAGGAGGUCCAAUCUACGCCAUUGGUGGUUUGGAUGACACAUCCUGCUUCAACACCGUGGAACGAUAUGAUCCUUCGACAGAUGUCUGGACGUUUUUAUCAUCCAUGAAGGUUCCUAGAGGCGGUGUAGGAGUUACGUCACAGAAAGGUUAUCUCUAUGCUGUUGGUGGCAAUGAUGGAUCAACUUCACUGGAUAGUUGUGAAAGAUACAAUCCACUAACAAAUAAAUGGACCACAAUUGCUUACAUGAACAAGAGACGAGCCGGUGCUGGAGUUACUGUGCUCAACGGAAUGGUGUACGCCGUUGGUGGUUUUGAUGACAAUGCUCCACUACACUCUAUGGAACGUUACGAUCCAGCAUCAGAUUCCUGGACAUUGAUGCCGUCAAUGUCAUGUUGUCGGGGAGGAGUUGGUGUUGCUACGCUUGGAGGUAAAAUUUUUGCUGUUGGUGGCCAUGAUGGAUCCAGUUACUUGAAUUCUGUUGAAGCCUUUGAUCCGAGUACUGGGAAGUGGAUGAUGAUGUCAAACAUAGAAGUAUGUCGUGCUGGUGCUGGAGUUGCCGUCUUGGACUGUUCAGUGGAACAACUAGAAGACAUUCGGAAAACAGUCAAUACAUCCAGUGCUGGGUCAGUGAUACAGAGACAACAUGGGGAAUAAGAAAUAAGCAUUCCAAAGACGUAUCUCCCGGUUUCCAUAUUUUUGCCCCUUUUUCCCCCCUUUUUCUUCCAUAAAACGUUUCCAUUUGUUUUUGUUGAUGAAAACAAAAACAAGCAAAACCCUUAUGUUGACAUCUGUGCGUUUAUAACAAACGUGUUAAGAUGGUCGACAUGUAAACUAAAUCAUAAGAAAGGAAGGACACAAAAAAAAAAUCCAUCCGCCAGUCAUUUGAUAAACCAAAUAUCUUCAUUAAACAUUGGCUGCUAUUUCUAAUGGGAACCUUUUUAAAAAAUCACAGGUGAGACUUUACCAAAACCAUAGAAUGUGGCUGGUCAAUAAAUUUCGCACAAAAGACCUGAAGUCAUUCCAGACUGAGCAGAGCACAUCAAGUCAAGACAGAAAAAUGGAAAUCUGAAAGACCAGAACAAAUCAAGGGAAGAGAGAGAGAGAGAUCAAAUCUCGAUGGAUCAAGAGUUGACUGAACAACUCAAAGGGCAGGUCAUGUCAAGAGAAAAAUGAGAGAAAAUGGUGCAGAACCAAUCUAAAUUAUCUAUUGUUAUAAACAGAUGUAUAAAAAUCGAAAACAAAGAAUAUGGGGCUUGUCUCAGAAAUUGAAAUGAGAACAAAAAAAGUGGGGUGGGGAAAUGUAUUUUUCAAUUAUUUUAUUCAAUAUUAUUUGAAUCUUUUUUUUUUUAUACAUGACAAUAAAGCGAAUGACUUUGAUACAAAAUUAUAAAAAACAAAAACGAACAGAACUUUCUUUGAUCAGGAAAUUAUCAUGAAAUUUGCAUUGUAUUUACCAUAUAUUUCUUCAUUCAUCAUUUGUUAUUUUCUAAACCACUCACACACACACACACACACACACACACACACAUUUAUGAAAAAAAAAAAAUAGUCCCUGUCAAGUUUGCUUUGGCAGACUGUUUGUCAGGGUAUUGAACUGACCAAAGAAAACAUUCAAUGUUGAUACUUCUGUCUGUAAUCGUCCCAUUUAUAUGGGGCAAUGCUGUCUUUAGAUUUUAGGGGCGUGGAAUAAAAAUGUGCCUACUUUAAAGACA